rnacentral:rRNA from 1 species
UACGGGGGGGGCAAGCGUUGUUCGGAAUUAUUGGGCGUAAAGAGCGUGUAGGCGGCCUGACAGGUCUGCUGUGAAAACUCGAGGCUCAACCUCGAGAUGUCGGCGGAAACCGUCUGGCUAGAGUCCGGAAGAGGAGAGUGGAAUUCCUGGUGUAGCGGUGAAAUGCGCAGAUAUCAGGAAGAACACCUAUGGCGAAGGCAGCUCUCUGGGACGGUACUGACGCUGAGACGCGAAAGCGUGGGGAGCGAACAGG